rnacentral:rRNA from 1 species
CAAUAGCGUAUAUUAAAGUUGUUGCAGUUAAAAAGCUCGUAGUUGGAUUUCUGGUAGGAGUGACCGUUCCGAACUUGAUUGUUCGUGUAUUGUGUUUUCUCCAGCCAUCCUUGUGGAGAACUUUUCUUGCAUUAAUUUGUAGGGAUUGGGACCCGCAUCGUUUACUGUGAAAAAAUUAGAGUGUUUAAAGCAGGCAAUCGCUUGAAUACAUUAGCAUGGAAUAAUAAGAUAGGACUUUGGUACUAUUUUGUUGGUUUGCAUACCAAAUUAAUGAUCAACAGGAACAGUUUGUGGAUAUUCGUAUGAACAUGUCAGAGGUGAAAUUCUUGGAUUUUGAUCAGACGAACUACUGCGAAAGCAUUUAUCAAGGAUGUUUUCAUUAA